AUGAAGCCAGGGGUGGAACAGGCAGGCUGGAAGAUCCCUCGUGGGCCAGGCCUUCUCCCCGGGAGGUGCAAGGGCCUUCUGCUGCUGCUGCUGCUGGGCCUGGCCAGGAGCACCCAGGGCCCACCGCCCCUGACAGCGGCGCCACGGAGCAGGACUCCAGGCCCAGGAGCCUCUGUCCUGCGGAACAUGUGGGGCAGAAGGUUCCCGGGCCAGGCCCGCCCCUGGGAGGCAGGUCCCAGGUGCUGGCCCCACGGCUUUCGGUCUGCGUCUCAGUCACCGUGGUUUGUCUUUGGCAGCGGAACCCAGCUCACUGUCCUAGGUCGGCCCAAGGCUGCCCCAUCAGUCACCCUAUUUCCACCCUCCUCCCAAGAGCUCCAGACCAACAAGGCCACAUUGGUGUGUCUGAUAAAUGACUUCUACCCAGACACCAUGAUGGUGGUCUGGAAGGCAGACGGCACCCUCAUCACCCAGGGUGUGGAGACCGCCCAGCCCUCCAAACAGAGCAACAGCAAGUACAAGGCCGUCAGCUACCUGACUCUGACGCCCGGCCAGUGGAGAUCUCACAAAAGAUACAGCUGCCAGGUCACACACGAAGGGAGCGUUGUGGAGAAGAGUGUGUCUGCUGCAGAAUGUUCUUAGGUCCACAACCCGCAUCCUGCCCUCCAGGGGCCGGAGCACAAGGGCCUGGGGAGAGGUUUCGCCCUCCCACUCUGGCCACGCUCCCUGUAUCCAACGAAUGCUCAAUAAAAUAUCCAUUUUACAGAUAAGUCCAGUUCCAUCUCGUUUGUCCUUUUCCC